rnacentral:rRNA from 1 species
UACACACCGCCCGUCACAUCACGAAAAGUGGGUUGUACUAGAAGCCGAUGGACUAACCGCAAGGAAGUAGUCGUCCAAGGUAUAACUCAUGAUUGGGGUG